UGAAAGGGCAAGGAUAAUUCUCUCUGCCAUAAAAAAACUGAAUUAGAUGGUUAAAACCACUAUUAGAAAGAGCAUCCUGAGCUAUUAAAUCCUGCAGGUUUCAGGCUAUUUCAGAAACAUCCUGAGGUUGUGCCUGGAUGCUGAUACCGUCACAAGCUUGGGCAGAGGGAAAACAUCAGAGAGAUGCAACAGGGCAUGAGGGCUUUUCAGCAGCAGGGCUGCUAGCUGGGGUGGCUGGGCUUAUAUGGGGAAGCCCAGCAGACCUCUGUGGUCAAUAUACCCGAAGGAAAGUGUGAAGUCACAAAUCUCAAGUGUCAGCUGGACAAAUUCAUUCCAAGGGGAGCAUGCUUGAGCUGAAAGCCAAUGGAAGAUGCUCUCUUUCAUGUAGCAAA
rnacentral:lncRNA from 1 species